UCAGCGCAUAGCCAGCCGCUUUCCCUAAGAUGGCUGAUCUGCAAUCACUUCCCAAAUUGCAGGCUGGACAGCCCCAGGCAGGGAGGUCGGCAGAAGAGGACCAGAACCAUAAUGAGGCAGCAAGGCCACCUGCACUUCUCAUCCAGGAGCUGUCCCUGCAGGAGAUGCCCUGUCCUGUGCUGCGAAGCUUCUGUCACCCUACUGUCACCAGUGGUGAGCAGCCAUGUGUAGGAUGCACCGUAUCUGGCCUGGGAAUAUGGUGGUGAGAGGAUGUCAGGUCCGUGGUCUCAGAGCUACCAGCUGGAGAGGUGCAGGUGUCCGAGGAGGUAAAGGUAUCACAGGGUUGGGAUGAGGGCUGGGUGCAGUGACGGGG
rnacentral:lncRNA from 1 species